rnacentral:rRNA from 1 species
UACNNNUNGGAUGACGCUGGCGGCGUGCUUAACACAUGCAAGUCGAGCGAGGGAGCACCUUCGGGUGUGAACUAGCGGCGGACGGGUGAGUAACACGUGGGCAACCUGCCUUACAGAGGGGGAUAGCCUUCCGAAAGGAAGAUUAAUACCGCAUAUUAUGAUUUUUCUGCAUGGGAAAGUCAUGAAAGGAGCAAUCCGCUGUAAGAUGGGCCCGCGGCGCAUUAGCUAGUUGGUGAGGUAAGGGCUCACCAAGGCGACGAUGCGUAGCCGACCUGAGAGGGUGAUCGGCCACAUUGGGACUGAGACACGGCCCAGACUCCUACGGGAGGCAGCAGUGGGGAAUAUUGCACAAUGGGGGAAACCCUGAUGCAGCAACGCCGCGUGAGUGAUGACGGCCUUCGGGUUGUAAAGCUCUGUCUUCAGGGACGAUAAUGACGGUACCUGAGGAGGAAGCCACGGCUAACUACGUGCCAGCAGCCGCGGUAAUACGUAGGUGGCGAGCGUUAUCCCGAUUUACUGGGCGUAAAGGAUGCGUANGUGGAAUUUUAAGUGGGAUGUGAAAUACCCGGGCUCAACCUGGGAACUGCAUUCCAAACUGGAAUUCUAGAGUGCAGGAGAGGAAAGCGGAAUUCCUAGUGUAGCGGUGAAAUGCGUAGAGAUUAAGAAGAACACCAGUGGCGAAGCGGCUUUCUGGACUGUAACUGACACUGAGGCAUGAAAGCGUGGGGAGCAAACAAGAUUAGAUACCCUGGUAGUCCACGCCGUAACGAUGGGUACUAGUGUAGGGUUUCGAUACCUCUGUGCCGCCGUAAACACAAUAAGUACCCCGCCUGGGGAGUACGUCGCAGAUUAAACUCAAGGAAUUGACCGGGGNCGCACCAGUAGCGAGCAUGUGGUUAAUCGAGCAACGCNAGAACCUACCUAGACUGACACGUCCUGAUACCUG